AGUGAACGCUGGCGGUAGGCCUAACACAUGCAAGUCGAACGGCAGCACAGGAGAGCUUGCUCUCUGGGUGGCGAGUGGCGGACGGGUGAGGAAUACAUCGGAAUCUACCUUUUCGUGGGGGAUAACGUAGGGAAACUUACGCUAAUACCGCAUACGACCUACGGGUGAAAGUGGGGGACCGCAAGGCCUCACGCGAUUAGAUGAGCCGAUGUCCGAUUAGCUAGUUGGCGGGGUAGUGGCCCACCAAGGCGACGAUCGGUAGCUGGUCUGAGAGGAUGAUCAGCCACACUGGAACUGAGGCACGGUCCAGACUCCUACGGGAGGCAGCAGUGGGGAAUAUUGGACAAUGGGCGCAAGCCUGAUCCAGCCAUACCGCGUGGGUGAAGAAGGCCUUCGGGUUGUAAAGCCCUUUUGUUGGGAAAGAAAUCCUAUCGGUUAAUAACCGGUGGGGAUGACGGUACCCAAAGAAUAAGCACCGGCUAACUUCGUGCCAGCCGCCGCUGUAAGAC
rnacentral:rRNA from 1 species